AGAGUUUGAUUAUGGCUCAGGAUGAACGCUGGCGGCGUGCCUAACACAUGCAAGUCGAACGGGUGUACGGGGAGGAAGGCUUCGGCCGGAAAACCUGUGCAUGAGUGGCGGACGGGUGAGUAACGCGUGGGCAACCUGGCCUGUACAGGGGGAUAACACUUAGAAAUAGGUGCUAAUACCGCAUAACGGGGGAAGCCGCAUGGCUUUUCCCUGAAAACUCCGGUGGUACAGGAUGGGCCCGCGUCUGAUUAGCCAGUUGGCAGGGUAACGGCCUACCAAAGCGACGAUCAGUAGCCGGCCUGAGAGGGCGGACGGCCACACUGGGACUGAGACACGGCCCAGACUCCUACGGGAGGCAGCAGUGGGGGAUAUUGCACAAUGGGGGGAACCCUGAUGCAGCGACGCCGCGUGGGUGAAGAAGCGCCUCGGCGCGUAAAGCCCUGUCAGCAGGGAAGAAAAUGACGGUACCUGAAGAAGAAGCCCCGGCUAACUACGUGCCAGCAGCCGCGGUAAUACGUAUGGGGCAAGCGUUAUCCGGAUUUACUGGGUGUAAAGGGGGCGCAAACGGCGAUGCAAGCC
rnacentral:rRNA from 1 species